GUCUAUGGCCAUGCCACCCUGAACAAGCUCGAUCCUGUCUGAUCUCGGAAGCUAAGCAGGGUCGGGCCUGGUUAAUACUUGGAUGGGAGACCACCUAGGAAGAUCAGGUGCUGUAGCCA
rfam:Pteropus alecto contig64335, whole genome shotgun sequence.